GAAAUAAAUGCAUGACUCUCUAAGGUAUACAUGCUGUCACACAUUUAAAAGAGAACAAAACGAAAGCUCUCUUAUUAGUAUUUUUCUAUUUCAUAAAGAAUGUAAUUUUCAAAUAAUUUUGUUAUGUAUUUUAAUCGAUUUUCCUAAUUUAAUCUCAUUUAUAUUUAUUUGAAAGUAUAUUUUCAUAUUUUUAUACCGAUCUUAUGCACUAUGACUACUGAAUAAAUUAGUCAUACAACACUAUUCAUUGCAAAAUACUUGAAUAUUUAUUUCAGAAUUUUAAGCAAAUUAAAAAUUUUACCGGGGAUUAUUUAAAGUUUUGCAAAAGAAACAUUAAAAAGAUCUAACAAGUAAAGUACAUAAAAUGUAAUGCUCACUUUUUCACAUAAUGCAUAUCGAGAAGUAACUGAUUGUUUCAAUCUCGCAAAUUAUAACUAUUUGUCUUAAAAUAGUAUAGUUUCGUAAUCGGCAAAGAAUUAGUUUUGAAACUGGGUGCGAUUUGUAGCGUCACAAGGAUCACUGAAGGAAAGUUUGGCAGAUUACAGUGACGAUUAUGAUACGCAUAUACUGCACGAAAAAAAUACAUUCAAUUAGUUAG